GGCCCGGUAGCUCAGUUGGUUAGAGCAUCAGCCUGAUAUGCCAAGGUUGCAGGUUCAAUCCCUGGUCAGGGCG
rfam:Myotis brandtii contig295607, whole genome shotgun sequence.